UGGUAAAACUUACUUAGGAAGUGCGUCUCCUAUGGGUACAACUAUACUUAGGAAGUGCGUUUCCUGUUGGUGGAAUAAACUUAGGAAGUGCGUCUCCUAUUGGUGAAAUAAACUUACGAAGUGCGUCUCCUAUUGGUGUAAACUGAACUUAGGAAGUGCGUCUCCUAUUGGGUACAAUAAACUUAGGAAGUGCGUCUCCUAUUGGGUGAAAUAACUUAGGAUAUGCGUCUCCUAUUGGGUGAAAUAACUUAGGAAGUGCGUCUCCUAUUGGUAAAACUUGGCUUAGGAAGUGCGUCUCCUGUUGGUGAAACUAACUUAGGAAGUGCGUCUCCUAUGGUGAAACUUAUCUUAGGAAGUGCGUCUCCUAUUGGCGAAAUUAUUUUUUUAGGAAGUGCGUCUCCUAUUGGUGAAACUGAUCUUAGGAUGUGCGUCUCCCGUUGGUACAACUGAGCUUAGGAAGUGCGUCUCCUAUGGUAAAACUGACUUAGGAAGUGCGUCUCCUAUUGGUGAAUCUUAUCUGAGGAAGUGCGUCUCCUAUUGGUAAAACUUAUCUUAGGAAGUGCGUCUCCUAUUGGUGAAACUUAUCUUAGGAAGUGCGUCUCCUAUUGGUGAAACUAUUCUUAGGAAGUGCGUCUCCUAUAGGUGAAACUAUUCUUAGGAAGUGCGUCUCCUUAGGAUGUGCGUCUCCUAUUGGUGAAACUUAGCUUAGGAAGUGCGUCUCCUAUUGGUAAAACUAAACUUAGGAAGUGCGUCUCCUAUUGGUAAAACUAAACUUAGGAAGUGCGUCUCCU
rnacentral:lncRNA from 1 species